rnacentral:rRNA from 1 species
GUCCACGCCGUAAACGAUGGAUACUAGCUGUUGGGGCAACUUCAGUGGCUAAGCGAAAGUGAUAAGUAUCCCACCUGGGGAGUACGUUCGCAAGAAUGAAACUCAAAGGAAUUGACGGGGCCCGCACAAGCGGUGGAGCAUGUGGUUUAAUUCGAUGAUACGCGAGGAACCUUACCAAGGCUUAAAUGUAGAUUGACAGGACUGGAAACAGUUUUUCUUCGGACAAUUUACAAGGUGCUGCAUGGUUGUCGU